rnacentral:rRNA from 1 species
AAACACAACUCUCAGCAACGGAUAUCUUGGCUCUUGCAACGAUGAAGAACGCAGCGAAAUGCGAUACGUAGUGUGAAUUGCAGAAUUCCGCGAAUCAUCGAGUCUUUGAACGCAAGUUGCGCCCGAGGCUUGUCC